UCAGGAAAAACAUCCUGGACUUGGUGGGACCACUGACUCUCACAUCCGUGAGGACAAAUGGGAGCAGUGGUUUUGUAGCUCAACCCCCCUGAGUCUUACAAAGGUUUUCCGGAGAGUUGGGCCUCCAGGGGGGGACUGGCCAGAGUUUCAGGGAUUUCAGAAAACUGAAAUGUGUCUCACCGGACUAAAGUCAAGAUGUCGACAGGGUGGAUUCCUUCUGGAGGCUCCAGGGGAGAAUCUGUUCCUUGGCUCCUCCAUCAUCUAAGACUGCUUAUUCUUUGGCUGGGUCCACUCUGUUCACAUGUCUGGACCCACCUGGAUAACCCAGGAUCAUCUCUCCACCUCAAGAUCUGCCCUCACAUCUGCAGUGUUCUUUUGAUGUAUAAGGUCUGAUCUGUUCUGAGGAAGAUACAUUAAAAAGAAGAGCUCCUGACCACAGAUUGGAAAGACAAGAAUGUUAAAACAUAGGUUUUCUCUCCUCACCCCCUACAAGUGCGAUUCAGACACAGAGAGAGAGAGAGGCAGAGACACAGGAGGCUGGAGAAGCAGGC